AACUGAAGCACGGUAGAGAAAUUCAUCAUGGGAGGGAGGAGCUGAAAACCUGAGAGUGUAAGAUCCAAGAGGUCAUGGGCCUUUUUCUUUCUUUGUUUGCCAUGUUAUCUCCAACAUCUGGAACAGAGUCUGGCACAAAGGCUUCCGUGAAUUUGGAGAUUUUUCUGAGCUGGGAGGUGACCAAACAUAUCUACUUCUUUGAUCUCAACACUUCCUGAAAAACAGAUACUAACGUGGGUCAUGAUGUCAAUGAACCAAGAUUUUCAGAGAGGCAAGGCUAAGCACCAGCCAGGUCCUCCAUCUUCCAACCCCAAAAUUCAUCCAGAAUGUACCAGGAUGGGGCCUAGAAGUCAACUUCAAACUUUGAUCUUCAAUCCUACAAAGAAUGAUCAUCUCAGAAAACUUAGGGCAAAAGUAAAUAUGCAUGGAUUUACAAAAAUCUCACUCUUUCACCCAAGUUCUUUUUUAGUAGGCAUUACAAAAAACUGGCCAGAAAUCCCACCCUGGGAAAUCUAAUAGAAAUAAAAGCUCUUAUACGUAA
rnacentral:lncRNA from 1 species